AAAAAAGCAGGGUCUUGUUGCCUCUUGUGAACUGGGCUCUCGUAAACUUCAGGGAAAUUUAAUGUCAUUGCUAUUGGGUGAACCUCUGUAGUUUAUUGUGACUGAUGGUUCAGUAAAUGAUGGCACAUCA